rnacentral:lncRNA from 1 species
CGGCCCCGCUACUGUCCACGUGGAUAAGUGGAAGCGUACUUCGCAGAAGUACGUUUUCGCCUUCAGAAAGCGUAUUUCUCUUCUGCUCCAGUCGUAAGUGCGCUUUCAUAGUUUGAAAACGUAUUUUCUUCUUAGGCGCCUUCUGUUUUCUCACUCAGGGGCCUGUGUGUAGAGAUUCUUUUACAAAUCGGUCCCUGAACUUCGUCGGGCUAUAUCUUUUUACUCCCAACUCCAAAUGAGGUGAUUCCAAAGCCCAUUUCUUCGUCUCGUCGAGCCCGUUCUGUUGGUUUCAUUUCCACUAUGGUUUGACACUGUGAAAAUGACCCCUUUUGCCCUUGCCCGUAAACAGCCCCUCCGAGAGAGAACUGUUUCCGGCAAAUCUUUCCGCGAGAUUCUCGCACGUCUUCCCGGUGUUUUCUUCAUCCCCAAGGAAGCCACAAUACCCACUUGCAUGAUAGUCAUGCAGUAGCCAUGGUUUUCAACUUGAAUAUUUAUUAAAUGAUUGCUUGUUUAAAAUAUAGUUAUCGUUGUUUUGGUAAUGCUUCUGGGUUAGUGCUUACUUGCUUGCUAUGUUGUUAUGCACCUGGUUAUCAUGCCCUGCUAGUUGCUAGUAUUACUUUCAUAUUUCCAUGCUUGAUAGUAGUACAUGUUGGGUUGGUCAUGUUCUUCGGUGCAUGACUAACGUCGGUUAUCGAGUACUGUUAAUAUGCGUUGUUCCUUUGCUGUUAGUUGGUUAAGUGUUACUCGGUAAUAUUAUUGAUGAGUUCUUGCAUGGUAUUUAUAGUUGAUGUGAGUGGUCAUGUUUUACUAUGAGUAGUGUUGCACUUGUAUUAUUUAUGCUCAUCAUUAUGCCAUGUUCAGUUGGAGAUUAUUCAUAGUUGAUAUGGUGGAUCGUUAUGUUGUACCCUCAUGCUUAUGUUGAUCUCACACUAGUAGAAAACAGGGCUUUGGUCACAGGGCAGUUUUCACAUUAGUCCCGGUUCAGUCACGAACCGGGACUAAUGUGAGCAUUUAUCCCGGUUCGUGCGGCUAAGGCAUUAGUCCCGGUUCACCUGGGCCCUUUAGUCCCGGUUGGUGCCACGAACCGGGACUAAAGGGUGUGAUGCCCAUUAGUCCCGGUUGGUGGCACCAACCNNNNNNNNNNNNNNNNNNNNNNNNNNNNNNNNNNNNNNNNNNNNNNNNNNNNNNNNNNNNNNNNNNNNNNNNNNNNNNNNNNNNNNNNNNNNNNNNNNNNNNNNNNNNNNNNNNNNNNNNNNNNNNNNNNNNNNNNNNNNNNNNNNNNNNNNNNNNNNNNNNNNNNNNNNNNNNNNNNNNNNNNNNNNNNNNNNNNNNNNNNNNNNNNNNNNNNNNNNNNNNNNNNNNNNNNNNNNNNNNNNNNNNNNNNNNNNNNNNNNNNNNNNNNNNNNNNNNNNNNNNNNNNNNNNNNNNNNNNNNNNNNNNNNNNNNNNNNNNNNNNNNNNNNNNNNNNNNNNNNNNNNNNAAGAAAAUGAUGGAAGUGUCAAAAAAAUAAAAUAAAAUAAGUUUCCCAUGUGAUAUAUGGUCUAGUUGUUGGGAAAAUUAACAAAUAUGAAUUUCGACUUUAUUUGCAAAAUCUCUCUGGAAUUUCUUAAAAUGGCAUAACUUUUGCAUACGAACUCGGAUGAAAAAGUUUUUUAUAUGAAAAAUCAUCUACUCGAAAAGUUACAUCCAAAUUUAACCGGGGGAACCCCGUUAAACAUUUUCAAAAUCCUCAAAAACCUAACAGAAAAAAAAGAUACGGGGCUUUUAAGAUCUGGAGAGGCAAAAAAAUUCAAAAAAAUUCAAAUUGUGGUCAAACUGUGGUCAAACAAUGGUCAAACUAAUUAUUCUAAAAUAUUAGUGUUACUAAAUAAUUAUUUCAGUUGUUUUGAAUUUUGGUCAAAUCUGGUAAAACUGUGGUCAAAUCUGGUUAAACUGUGGUCAAACAAUGGUCAAACUAAUUAUUCCAGAAAUAUUAGUGUUACUAAAUAAUUAUUGUUUUUUAAAACAAUAGUUUCAAACUCAAACAGUGAGUUCAUGCUCAAGCUAAAUUCCUGAGGGUUAAUAGGAUUGACAUCUUACUAUUGUCAGGAAAACAACAUGUGCAGACUUGGAAACGAGGGAGAAUAGAACCCGGAAGUUAGGCGUGCUCAGGCUGGAGUAGUGAGAGGAUGGGUGACCAUCCAGGAAGUUAGAUGAUUUGGAAUGAUGAGGGGUGAUUAGAGAUUAGAGGAUAAAUUGAGCAGUGAUGAGGGGUGGUGAUUAGAGAUUAGAGGUUAAAAUAAUUCAAAAUUUCAAAAUAAAAAAAAAUAAAAAAAAUUCGCAAAAAUAAUUUCAAAAAAAAUCAUAAAAUUUCCUUUAGUCCCGGUUGGUAACACCAACCGGGACUAAAGGUGGAGCUCCAGUCUGCGUCCACGUGGACGGCCUUUAGUCCCGGUUCGUGUAAGAACCGGGACUAAAGGGGGGAGGCAUUAGUAACGACCCUUUAGUCCCGGUUCAAAAACCGGGACUAAAGGCCCUUACCAACCGGGACAAAAGCCCCCUUUUCUACUAGUGUCAUGCUCAUGCUUUGUAUAUGCAUCAUGUUAUUUUAUCAUGGCUCAGCAUAUUGCAUUCAAGUUUAACCGGAUUAAAUUGAACUUGAACAACUGUUGGCUGAGUCAUGGUGCCACCAUAUCGAAACUGACCAGUGCAACCACGCUUACCUUAUGGGAAGGUCCUAACUGGGUCUAUUGUCGUGCCUCUCGCCGGUGCCUCCAACGAGGGAAGGUUAUGGGCACGCGCUACCCUAAUCAGGUAGGAUUGUGUGUCUGUUGUUGUUAUUAUGGAUACGGUCCCCGUGAGGGACGUUUUGGCCACGACGGUGGUUGUUGUGUCUUUGGUAGACACGGGGCCACCCAGGACUAGCCUAGUUGGGAGUGGGUCGGAGUGGCCGGGAGAGUGUCAUGGCAAUAGAUCGGUUUUGUUGGAACGUCGUUGGUCCACCCGAAUGGGAGUGCGAGGCCAUGGGUUCCGUGGUGUGGGUACAGUGUACUAACCUCUGCAGAGUGUAUAUUAAAUCUAUCGAUAGCCGCUUCCGCGGAUAAGGGCCCAGUUCGUGUCGGUCACACUGUGAGUCAACAGUAUUAAUAAUAACUUGAUUAAUGACAACCCCGGUUCGAUGAUGAGAUAAGUUGGUUGUGAUCGCCGGAAAGAUCACCGUUUGAGACCAAGUGUUGGUCAUGGUUGUGAUCACCGAAAUGAUCACCGUGGUAUCGAGGAUACCGAGUUGUUGGAUAUUCGUGAUGUUGUGCGAGAAUCAUGGGUAAAGAUCAAGCUCCUUGUGGUCAUUUAAUGAUUACUACGGUAUUGUUGAUACCAAGCUUGAUUUGAUCCUGAGAUGAUUGUGUGAUGUCCGAGGUUGGUAAGUGAUGCAUGUGAUGGUUACGUAGUAAGCCGAGCAGAAUAAAUAGUGCAUAUAGUGUCUUCAUGUUGCAUGCUAGUAUCGUCGAAUUCAUAUGUUCAUGCUAUGCUCAUGUUGUUCUAGCUGUAUCAUGUUCAUGUUGCGCAAGUCAUGUUGUUAUGAGGAUCUCAUGUUAAUUCCUGCUUAACCUGUAAAUGCCAUGCUGAUGUUUGUCUUGAAUGCUUCUGGUUAAUGUGAGCUUGCAAGUACAUUCAAUGUACUGACCUGGCAUGUCAUGCCAGCUUGCAGGUCGUGCCUGGAUUUCUUGCUUGUUUGGUGUUGUUCCUGUGUUUGCGAGCUAGGAUAAGCAUUCCAGCCAGAGUCCCUGCGGAGUGGAGUUCACCACCGUCGUCGUUGUUCCGCCGCCAGUAGUUGUUGCGCUGCCUCAACUUGCUAUGCUACUUGCAUAGAGCAACUGAGGAUGGCGUAGUGUCGUCGUGCCGAUGUUAUUCAUUGUAAUAUCGGAGACCUUGUAUUCAUAUUCGUGUAUUAAUAGAAAGCUGGUUUGUUCUAUGCUAAGCAGUGCCGUAUUCCAGAAGACUUCACCUCGAUCUCUAGGCUGGAAUACGGGGCGUUCCGGUUUUCUCUGAGCCGGGGUGCCACAGGCUUGGUAUCAGAGCAGGUCUGGCUGUAGGAUGCCCUAGCCCGCCCGAACGUUAGAAAGCAGUAGUAUAGACCCCAGUUGGUUUGUUGCAUUUGUUUGUCGCAUAGCAUGUAUAUAGAUUAUUAUUUUGUCACUAACGGUUGAUCUUGUGAGUGUAGGCGGCAUCGUUUUCGGUCCACCGCCUGCACCCUCCUUCUUAGCAUGCCUGCUCUUUGGUGUGAUUCGACCACAUCAUCAUCCAUUGCCCUCCAUCUUGUUCUUUUGGCAACCCUUGCUGAUCUUUGUUAUCAGAAAAGGGUAAUGCCAUUAAACCCCGUCUUCCACUGUUAUCUUGCCUUGUCAUUUCAUUCUUUGGACGGGUACGAUUCCCUUCGUACGCUUGAUGAUUAGGUGGUCGUGACUUUUGUGUCUAGCUACUUGAUCGUCAAGUCCGUCCUCACCUGUGUAUCCAUCCAGAUCCAGCCACUGUUCAGCCAGUGCUUGGUGUAGCUUCGGUUACGCCAACUCCUUCCACACAUGGAUAUAAUUUUCGUGCACACCGCCACAGCAUAUUAGACCGUAGUACCGGAGUUUCCAUGCGAUUAGUGUGCUUAGGUGUGCAUGCAUAUUAUGGUGUGAGUAGCAGUAAUAUGUGAAGAUUGCUUGAUUAAUUAUAUUAGUAGUAUGCUUGUGUGCUUUUGUUUUAGUUAUAUCUUUUGUUUCUUUCUUUGGGCCUUUGGUGUUACAAAUUUUCCCCUAUUAAAGUUGCUCGUCAGCCGACACCGGACACGAAGAGUCAGCAAGAAAUGCAUAUAUUUGGAAACUCGGUUAAACAAGAAUGGAAUUGUCAGCAGACUGCAGUGAAAUUGGAAAUAGCUCGUCUGAAUACAAAAGAAAUCCUGGAUGGAAUGUCAGUAUAAAGUUUGCAUUAACAUGCACUCCUCACAACAGUAUGGAAUUCUUAGCCGACUGCAUUCAGAUUGGGGGAUAUCUGGUCAUGUUACUGAGUGUCAAGUCUCCCUCAGCGUGUACUCCUCAUAGCACAAAUGAUCAAAUCAGCAAGAAGAUAAAUUGUGUGCAUGGUUGAUAAAAUAUUAUCAAAGGUAUGGCUCAGAUACAAGUUUAAUUUUUCGUUGAGGAUGAUUUUGGAACCCGAUGUACCUGGAAGCAAGCAAAAAUAUGGCAUGUACUCAGAAAGGAGGAUAGUCCUGCAAAGCCCCGUUUCAUACAAGAAAUCAAGAACAAAAAUUUUAAGAUGGUUAUAUAUGUGGAAAUCGGUUCGCAUACCACAAUAAGAAGCUUCUGGUGUAAGAAACCCAAUCUUCCCUCGCAAGAUACCCGAGAAGCUUCCAAGGCAAGAUUCAUCUAUCUUCCUCAGUACGAUACAUGGAUGAUUUCCCGUACAAGGUACUUUGCCUUCUUCAGUAAGCUACCGCAAAAGCUUCCGGCAUAAGGUACCGAGUCUUUCCCCAGCAAAGUCUUUAAGGGGGUAAGCUUCUGAAGCACGAUACCCAGUCUUCUUCAGCAAGCUGUCCGAUGAAAGUUUCGAGCACAAACCAGCCAAUCUUCCUCAGUAAGACAUUGGUACAAGGUAGUAUGAUGUGAAUUGAUAGCAUAUGGCAGUGAAUCCCAAGAAUCAGAUCUGCAACAUUUAGGUCAGAAGCAAGAAUCAGUCAGAAUACAUGUCUGUCUCGGGAAUCAGAUUCUCAUAUAUAUGCGGUGAGCAUACCAGCAAGAUCUUACAAGUCACUCAGAUGAGGAUAUGACAACCACGUAAGGAUGGUUAAGAGAAGAAAGCCAGUAUACACCGCAGUGUGACAAAGGAUUAUGAGGAUUGACGACAUCAAUGGCUCAAUGCAAGUACCUGUGAACCUGGAAAAUGAUCCUGAUGAGCCCUUGUCCCCUUUUUUCUCCAAUGAUGGCACCAUGCCUGUGAUCUAAGCUGUUUUUAGCUAUCCUGGGUGGAUGCCGAUUUUUUAUUUCUCUCUUCAACGACUGUCACGAGUUCUGAGCUGCUUUUCGGCCGUCUCGUACAGCUGUUGAGUUUCUUUUUGUGACAGUAGCCCUAUAGCUGCUUUUUGGCUAUUUUAGGGAGCUGCCACCUUCUUCUUAUCAACCCGAUCUCAUGUUCUGAGCUGCUUUUCGGCCGUCCUGCGCCAUGGUUGAUUUAUUUCAGUAAUGUCCCAGAUCUGAGUUGUAAAGACCGUUCUGGUGGCUACUGAUUUAUUUGCCGAUUUCUUGCAAAGGUUCGGAUGAUCAUUUUCCUGCGGUCAGAACUUGAGGGGUGUUGAACCUGCCAUUUAAUGGGGUACCCUGUCAGAAAAAUGAGGAUAAGCUGCGAUUGCCGAAAAAUUGCACUGACAGUACCUAUGGUGAUACGAAGAAGCAAUAUGACCUAGCUCUUUCAGCCAAGGAUCCUGGCCAAGAAAACAAUAAUGAAGGAGCAAGACCAGUGAUGCAGGUAUGAAAAUUGUUGCAAGACCCGCGUGGUGCAGAACCACCGUCAGUCAAGUCUACAGAUAUUAUCAUACAAGUCAAACUCUUAUGCUAGCCACGACAGGCGACAAUCAAAUAUUUGGUACGGAUCCGAUACUCAAGACAGUGGAACCAGUUAAGAUGAUUCAGAAACUUCCACGAUAAGCCAGAAUUUGUCAGGAAAGCGGUUAUGACCCAACUCGCUGUUUGGAACCCGAAGGACCUGCAUUUAGUGGAGAAAACCAAUGCAAGGAUUUAGAGCUUGGGUGUCCACUAGAAAAAAUCUGAUCACCACUUCAUGAAAGAUUGUCAAUGCCGGAUGACACACCCAGCAGAAAUCACUCUUGGAUUUGUGAAACCGACAUAUAUUUCAGUCGUGAGAAUCCAUCACAGUCAGCUAAGUCAGCAGAUCUAAAAAGAAAUUGGAGCCUGUAUAAGCAUGAACAAGCAAGGUAAGAUCUGUCAGAAUAUGGAUAUAUUAAAGCAAACCACCCCAGGACCAGUCAGAUAAAAAUUUAGGGGGGACAAAAAUAAGAAAAAGGAUACCCGAGUUGGAAAUGAUUUCCUUAAGUCAGUAUCUUCAUACUUGUUCCCUGAGCAACCAAAUCUCGAGGACGAGAUUUCUUUAAGGGGGUAAGGUUUGUAAUAGCCUGAUUUUUGGCCCUUUCUUUUUCUUUUGUUUUUCUGAGGUUUUUGCUUGAGUUUUCUUUUUCCGUGGCUUUGUGGUCUGGAAACUGAACAAGAUGCCCUCUUGUUUAUUUCCAGAGUGGCUUGUCAUUCCCAAAUCCUUCCCUAGACCCCGUCAUUUUCAUCCUAGCCCAAAUCCCAAUAUUCUUUUUAUUGGGAAUAUUACUUUUCUACUAAAGGAAUAACUCAAGUUGCCCUAGGUUGUGAAGCAACCUUUACUUCCAUCACUCCUAAAAUUCCCAAAUAAUUCUCAUAAAUUUUUUGGGUCAUAUCUUUCCCAAAUAUGGUAAAAUAUUUCAUUUGUCAUGUUUAUCAUCAUGCUCAAAUAAUUCAUUUCCUAUUCUACCCUAAAUGGCACAUUGUGAAGCAAGUGCUAUUUUCCUUUUCCCAAGUGACCUCAAACUCCUUGGACACCUUUUCCUGUCCAUAUCAUUGCCACAUGCCAAAAUGCAACCUCAUUUGGCUAGUAAUUAUUUAAUUAUGAUUUUCCAAAGUUUCUAUCCAGAAAGAAGCUUUGUGAAGGAGGUGCAAUCUAGGCAUAUCCAAAUGAGUUUCCAUUUUGCAUGAUCCCUCAUAUCAUCAUAUCAUAGCCCUCCACCAAAGUAGAGCUCAUGUCAUGCCUCCAUGUGAGCUCAUCUUCAAUUCUUUGAUUCUGUCCAAAAUUUCAGCUUGUGAAGCAAGUAUAUUUUAUCUUGCUCCAUUAUGGCUGCCAAUUUUUCUAGGCCUUCUAUUAUCCAUAUAACCUACCUCCACCCAUUUUGGGCAUGUCUCAUCAAGCCAUUAUUUCUCUAGAAUUUUUCCAAGAUUCUGCACAGAAAUGAUGUUUGUAAAGAAAGUACCAUUUUAGCUGGUCCAUUUGGUAUGAGCUUUUUACAGCAUCUUUAUAUUUCCAUAUCAUGAGGAUUUGCCAAGUUGCAUCCCAUUCCAUAACUCCAUGUGAGUGCAUCAUCCAAAUCAAGUUUCUGGACCAAAAAUGCAGUUGCAAAGCAACCCUAUUAUUUAUUGGUCCAUUUCUUCUCUAAAUCUCCAGUAUUGUAGUUCUUCCUUAGUUAAACCUCCCAGACAACUCCUUUGACCUCAAUCAAGUCUCUGUGGAUUAGCAGUGCUCGUCCAAGUUUACUGCAGUAAACUUCAGAGCUUGAUUACCAUUUAACCAGAGAGAUUUUAACCAAACUACCACCGCAGUAGGAACCUCCCCUGGAUGAACUUGCCACUAGACAACACGCUCCAGCUCAUUUCCCCCGCUACAUGCCAGUGCACGCGGUAACCGCGUUAAUGGCAAGCCUGUGCGCGCGCUCUGCUACAAUUGGCCACACCCAGGAUGGAUUCUUGCUCGGGCCCCUCCUCCUCUCAUCGUCUUAGCACGCGUGAGCAUGUCCCUUGGCUUCACCUCGUCGUCGCCGAUCACAUGGACCCCGCUCCCCCUCCGGCAGCUUCCUCACCAACGAAAGCCGCAGCGUGCCCACGGGCGCACAGUGGCGUUUGGCUCGGUUCAUCGCCGUCGCCUUCCUCCCUGCGCUCCGUUGGCCUCCUCUGCCCCGUGAGGCACUCCACUGCUCCUCCCCCGUCGUCUACCACCGAGCUCAUGCGCGUGCACACGCGUCCGCGGCGCCGGACACGCGUCCGCGGCGGCGCCAGCGCGACACUCCCUCGCCCGGCUAUAUAUAGCCAUUCCCGCGGCCUCCCGAGCACCUCAUCAGCCUCGCCUCACUCCCAGCUUCCUCCUCGUCCACUAGCCCGGGCUCGAGCAGCUCUCCUCGACCCCCAUCGCCGCCAUGCCCGCCGCUCUGCUCAGCUCAAAUUCAAGCUGGGCAGUGCCCCUCCCCCUCUCUUUCCACCACCAGUAGACUCCUCCUCCACCUAGACUUCGCCCCCGUGCUCUCCCUCCCCUCCGGUGGCCUUCUGCCAUGAGCUCGCCGCCGACCGAAGAUCGCCGUCCGCCGCGGCUGGCCUCCCGCUCAGCCGAGCCCUACCCCGCGGCUGCAUCUUGCCUGGAUGGAUCCGCCUCGUCGCGCUGAUCACGCCGGUAGGUCGCACGCCGCGAGAGGUGGCCGGAGUGGCCGGGAAUCCGCGUCGGGCCGCCGGUCUCGUCUCUACAUCGCGGGCGAGCGGGAGGAGGAAGAAGGAGCCAGGCCAGGCGGGCCCCAUCUCCACGCGGCCCCACCUGUCGGCGGGCAGGCGUUGACCCCGCCUGCCUAGCUGGAUAAGUGAUGGGCCCCACAGCCCGUGGGACCCGCACGUCAGCGACCCCACGCCCGGCCCCGCCACUGUCCACGUGGAUAAGUGGAAGCGUACUUCGCAGAAGUACGUUUUCGCCUUCAGAAAGCGUGUUUCUCUUCUGCUCCAGUCGUAAGUGCGCUUUCAUAGUUUGAAAACUAUUUUCUUCUUAGGCGCCUUCUGUUUUCUCACUCAGGGGCCUGUUUGUAGAGAUUCUUUUACAAAUCGGUCCCUGAACUUCGUCGGGCUAUAUCUUUUUACUCCCAACUCCAAAUGAGGUGAUUCCAAAGCCCAUUUCUUUGUCUCGUCGAGCCCGUUCUGUUGGUUUCAUUUUCACUAUGGUUUGACACUGUGAAAAUGACCCUUUUUCCCUUGCCCGUAAACAGCCCCUCCGAGAGAGAACUGUUUCUGGCAAAUCUUUCCGCGAGCUUCUCGCACUUCUUCCCUGUGUUUUCUUCAUCCCCAGGCAAGCCACAAUACCCACUUGCAUGAUAGUCAUGCAGUAGCCAUGGUUUUCAACUUGAAUAUUUAUUAAAUGAUUGCUUGUUUAAAAUAUGGUUAUCGUUGUUUUGGUAAUGCUUCUGGGUUAGUGCUUACUUGCUUGAUAUGUUGUUAUGCACCUGGUUAUCAUGCCCUGCUAGUUGCUAGUAUUACUUUCAUAUUUCCAUGCUUGAUAGUAGUACAUGUUGGGUUGGUCAUGUUCUUCGGUGCAUGAUUAACGUCGGUUAUCGAGUACUGUUAAUAUGCGUUCUUCCUUUGCUGUUAGUUGGUUAAGUGUUACUCGGUAAUGUUAUUGAUGAGUUCUUGCAUGGUAUUUAUGGUUGAUGCUAGUGGUCAUGUUUUACUAUGAGUAGUGUUGCACUUGUAAUAGUUAUGCUCGUCAUUAUGCCAUGUUCAGUUGGAGAUUAUUCAUAGUUGAUAUGGUGGAUCGUUAUGUUGUACCCUCAUGCUUAUGUUGAUCUCAUGCUCAUGCUUUGUAUAUGCAUCAUGUUAUUUUAUCAUGGCUCAGCAUAUUGCAUUCAAGUUUAACCAGAUUAAGUUCAACUUGAACAACUGUUGGCUGAGUCAUGGUGCCACCAUAUCGAAACUGACCAGUGCAACCACGCUUACCUUAUGGGAAGGUCCUAACUGGGUCUAUUGUCGUGCCUCUCGCCGGUGCCUCCAACGAGGGAAGGUUAUGGGCGCGCGCUACCCUGAUCAGGUAGGCGGACAUAACCUUGUGUGCCCGUUGUUGUUAUUAUGGAUCCGGUCCCCGUGAGGGACGUUUUGGCCACGACAGUGGUCGUUGUGUCUUUGGUAGAUACGGGGCCACCCAGGACUAGCCCAGUUGGGAGUGGGUCGGAGUGGCCGGGAGAGUGUCAUGGCAAUAGAUCGGUUUUGUCGGAAUGCCAUUGGUCCACCCGAAUGGGAGUGCGAGGCCAUGGGUUCCGUGGUGUGGGUACAGUGUACUAACCUCUGCAGAGUGUAUAUUAAAUCUAUCGAUAGCCGCGCCCGCGGAUAAGGGCCCAGUUCGUGUCGGUCACACCGUGAGUCAACAGUAUUAAUAAUAACUUGAUUAAUGACAACCCCGGUUCGAUGAUGAGAUAAGUUGGUUGUGAUCGCCGGAAAGAUCACCGUUUGAGACCAAGUGUUGGUCAUGGUUGUGAUCGCCGAAAUGAUCACCGUGGUAUCGAGGAUACCGAGUUGUUGGAUAUUCGUGAUGUUGUGCGAGAAUCAUGGGUAAAGAUCAAGCUCCUUGUGGUCAUUUAAUGAUUACUACGGUAUUGUUGAUACCAAGCUUGAUUUGAUCCUGAGAUGAUUGUGUGAUGUCCGAGGUUGGUAAGUGAUGCAUGUGAUGGUUACGUAGUAAGCCGAGCAGAAUAAAUAGUGCAUAUAGUGUCUUCAUGUUGCAUGCUAGUAUCGUCGAAUUCAUAUGUUCAUGCUAUGCUCAUGUUGUUCUAGCUGUAUCAUGUUCAUGUUGCGCAAGUCAUGUUGUUACGAGGAUCUCAUGUUAAUUCCUCCUUAACCUGUAAAUGCCAUGCUGAUGUUUGUCUUGAAUGCUUCUGGUUAAUGUGAGCUUGCAAGUACAUUCAAUGUACUGACCUGGCAUGUCAUGCCAGCUUGCAGGUCGUGCCUGGAUUUCUUGCUUGUUUGGUGUUGUUCCUGUGUUUGCGAGCUAGGAUAAGCAUUCCAGCCAGAGUCCCUGCGGAGUGGAGUUCACCACCGUCGUCGUUGUUCCGCCGCCAGUAGUUGUUGCGCUGCCUCAACUUGCUAUGCUGCUUGCAUAGAGCAACUGAGGAUGGCGUAGUGUCGUCGUGCCGAUGUUAUUCAUUGUAAUAUCGGAGACCUUGUAUUCAUAUUCGUGUAUUAAUAGAAAGCUGGUUUGUUCUAUGCUAAGCAGUGCCGUAUUCCAGAAGACUUCACCUCGAUCUCUAGGCUGGAAUACGGGGCGUUCCGGUUUUCUCUGAGCCGGGGUGCCACAGGCUUGGUAUCAGAGCAGGUCUGGCUGUAGGAUGCCCUAGCCCGCCCGAACGUUAGAAAGCGGUAGUAUAGACCCCAGUUGGUUUGUUGCAUUUGUUUGUCGCAUAGCAUGUAUAUAGAUUAUUAUUUUGUCACUAACGGUUGAUCUUGUGAGUGUAGGCGGCAUCGUUUUCGGUCCACCGCCUGCACCCUCCUUCUUAGCAUGCCUGCUCUUCGGUGUGAUUCGACCACAUCAUCAUCCAUUGCCCUCCAUCUCGUUCUUUUGGCAACCCUUGCUGAUCUUUGUUAUCAGAAAAGGGUAAUGCCAUUAAACCCCGUCUUCCACUGUUAUCUUGCCUUGUCAUUUCAUUCUUUGGACGGGUACGAUUCCCUUCGUACGCUUGAUGAUGAGGUGGUCGUGACUUUUGUGUCUCGCUACUUGAUCGUCAAGUCCGUCCUCACCUGUGUAUCCAUCCAGAUCCAGCCACUGUUCAGCCAGUGCUUGGUGUAGCUUCGGUUACGCCAACUCCUUCCACACAUGGAUAUAAUUUUCGUGCACACCGCCACAGCAUAUUAGACCGUAGUACCGGAGUUUCCAUGUGAUUAGUGUGCUUAGGUGUGCAUGCAUAUUAUGGUGUGAGUAGCAGUAAUAUGUGAAGAUUGCUUGAUUAAUUAUAUUAGUAGUAUGCUUGUGUGCUUUUGUUUUAGUUAUAUCUUUUGUUUGUUUCUUUGGGCCUUUGGUGUUACAAAUUUUCCCCUAUUAAAGUUGCUCGUCAGCCGACACCGGACCCGAAGAGUCAGCAAGAAAUGCAUAUAUUUGGAAACUCGGUUAAACAAGAAUGGAAUUGUCAGCAGACUGCAGUGAAAUUGGAAAUAGCUCGUCUGAAUACAAAAGAAAUCCUGGAUGGAAUGUCAGUAUAAAGUUUGCAUUAACAUGCACUCCUCACAACAGUAUGGAAUUCUCAGCCGACUGCAUUCAGAUUGGGGGAUAUCUGGUCAUGUUACUGAGUGUCAAGUCUCCCUCAGCGUGUACUCCUCAUAGCACAAAUGAUCAAAUCAGCAAGAAGAUAAAUUGUGUGCAUGGUUGAUAAAAUAUUAUCAAAGGUAUGGCUCAGAUACAAGUUUAAUUUUUCGUUGAGGAUCAUUUUGGAACCCGAUGUACCUGGAAGCAAGCAAAAAUAUGGCAUGUACUCAGAAAGGAGGAUAGUCCUGCAAAACCCCGUUUCAUACAAGAAAUCAAGAACAAAAAUUUUAAGAUGGUUAUAUAUGUGGAAAUCGGUUCGCAUAUCACAAUAAGAAGCUUCUGGUGUAAGAAACCCAAUCUUCCCUCGCAAGAUACCCGAGAAGCUUCCAAGGCAAGAUUCAUCUAUCUUCCUCAGUACGAUACAUGGAUGAUUUCCCGUACAAGGUACUCUGCCUUCUUCAGUAAGCUACCGCAAAAGCUUCCGGCAUAAGGUACCGAGUCUUUCCCCAGCAAAGUCUUUAAGGGGGUAAGCUUCUGAAGCACGAUACCCAGUCUUCUUCAGCAAGCUGUCCGAUGAAAGUUUCGAGCACAAACCAGCCAAUCUUCCUCAGUAAGACAUUGGUACAAGGUAGUAUGAUGUGAAUUGAUAGCAUAUGGCAGUGAAUCCCAAGAAUCAGAUCCGCAACAUUUAGGUCAGAAGCAAGAAUCAGUCAGAAUACAUGUCUGUCUCGGGAAUCAGAUUCUCAUAUAUAUGCGGUGAGCAUACCAGCAAGAUCUUACAAGUCACUCAGAUGAGGAUAUGACAACCACGUGAGGAUGGUUAAGAGAAGAAAGCCAGUAUACACCGCAGUGUGACAAAGGAUUAUGAGGAUUGACGACAUCAAUGGCUCAAUGCAAGUACCUGUGAACCUGGAAAAUGAUCCUGAUGAGCCCUUGUCCCCUUUUUUCUCCAAUGAUGGCACCAUGCCUGUGAUCUAAGCUGUUUUUAGCUAUCCGGGGUGGAUGCCGAUUUUUUAUUUCUCUCUUCAACGACUGUCACGAGUUCUGAGCUGCUUUUCGGCCGUCUCAUACAGCUGUUGAGUUUCUUUUUGUGACAGUAGCCCUAUAGCUGCUUUUUGGCUAUUUUAGGGAGCUGCCACCUUCUUCUUAUCAACCCGAUCUCAUGUUCUGAGCUGCUUUUCGGCCGUCCUGCGCCAUGGUUGAGUUAUUUCAGUAAUGUCCCAGAUCUGAGUGGUAAAGACCAUUCUGGUGGCUACUGAUUUAUUUGUCGAUUUCUUGCAAAGGUUUGGAUGAUCAUUUUCCUGCGGUCAGAAUUUGAGGGGUGUUGAACCUGCCAUUUAAUGGGGUACCCUGUCAGAAAAAUGAGGAUAAGCUGCGAUUGCCGAAAAAUUGCACUGACAGUACCUAUGGUGAUACGAAGAAGCAAUAUGACCCAGCUCUUUCAGCCAAGGAUCCUGGCCAAGAAAACAAUAAUGAAGGAGCAAGACCAGUGAUGCAGGUAUGAAAAUUGUUGCAAGACCCGCGUGGUGCAGAACCACCGUCAGUCAAGUCUACAGAUAUUAUCAUACAAGUCAAACUCUUAUGCUAGCCACGACAGGCGACAAUCAAAUAUUUGGUACGGAUCCGAUACUCAAGACAGUGGAACCAGUUAAGAUGAUUCAGAAACUUCCGCGAUAAGCCAGAAUUUGUCAGGAAAGCGGUUAUGACCCAACUCGCUGUUUGGAACCCGAAGGACCUGCAUUUAGUGGAGAAACCCAAUGCAAGGAUUUAGAGCUUGGGUGUCCACUAGAAAAAAUCUGAUCACCACUUCAUGAAAGAUUGUCAAUGCCGGAUGACACACCCAGCAGAAAUCACUCUUGGAUUUGUGAAACCGACGUAUAUUUCAGUCGUGAGAAUCCAUCACAGUCAGCUAAGUCAGCAGAUCUAAAAAGAAAUUGGAGCCUGUAUAAGCAUGAACAAGCAAGGUAAGAUCUGUCAGAAUAUGGAUAUAUUAAAGCAAACCACCCCAGGACCAGUCAGAUAAAAAUUUAGGGGGGACAAAAAUAAGAAAAAGGAUACCCGAGUUGGAAACGGUUUCCUUAAGUCAGUAUCUUCAUACUUGUUCCCUGAGCAACCAAAUCUCGAGGACGAGAUUUCUUUAAGGGGGUAAGGUUUGUAACAGCCUGAUUUUUGGCCCUUUCUUUUUCUUUUGUUUUUCUGAGGUUUUUGCUUGAGUUUUCUUUUUCCGUGGCUUUGUGGUCUGGAAACUGAACAAGAUGCCCUCUUGUUUAUUUCCAGAGUGGCUUGUCAUUCCCAAAUCCUUCCCUAGACCCCGUCAUUUUCAUCCUAGCCCAAAUCCCAAUAUUCUUUUCAUUGGGAAUAUUCCUUUUCUACUAAAGGAAUAACUCAAGUUGCCCUAGGUUGUGAAGCAACCUUUACUUCCAUCACUCCUAAAAUUCCCAAAUAAUUCUCAUAAAUUUUUUGGGUCAUAUCUUUCCCAAAUAUGGUAAAAUAUUUCAUUUGUCAUGUUUAUCAUCAUGCUCAAAUAAUUCAUUUCCUAUUCUACCCUAAAUGGCACAUUGUGAAGCAAGUGCUAUUUUCCUUUUCCCAAGUGACCUCAAACUCCUUGGACACCUUUUCCUGUCCAUAUCAUUGCCACAUGCCAAAAUUCAACCUCAUUUGGCUAGUAAUUAUUUAAUUAUGAUUUUCCAAAGUUUCUAUCCAGAAAGAAGCUUUGUGAAGGAGGUGCAAUCUAGGCAUAUCCAAAUGAGUUUCCAUUUUGCAUGAUCCCUCAUAUCAUCAUAUCAUAGCCCACCACCAAAGUAGAGCUCAUGUCAUGCCUCCAUGUGAGCUCAUCUUCAAUUCUUUGAUUUUGUCCAAACUUUCAGCUUGUGAAGCAAGUAUAUUUUAUCUUGCUCCAUUAUGGCUGCCAAUUUUUCUAGGCCUUCUGUUAUCCAUAUAACCUACCUCCACCCAUUUUGGGCAUCUCUCAUCAAGCCAUUAUUUCUCUAGAAUGUUUCCAAGAUUCUGCACAGAAAUGAUGUUUGUAAAGAAAGUACCAUUUUAGAUGGUCCAUUUGGUAUGAGCUUUUUACAGCAUCUUUAUAUUUCCAUAUCAUGAGGAUUUGCCAAGUUGCAUCCCAUUCCAUAACUCCAUGUGAGUGCAUCAUCCAAAUCAAGUUUCUGGACCAAAAAUGCAGUUGCAAAGCAACCCUAUUAUUUAUUGGUCCAUUUCUUCUCUAAAUCUCCAGUAUUGUAGUUCUUCCUUAGUUAAACCUCCCAGACAACUCCUUUGACCUCAAUCAAGUCUCUGUGGAUUAGCAGUGCUCGUCCAAGUUUACUGCAGUAAACUUCAGAGCUUGAUUACCAUUUAACCAGAGAGAUUUUAACCAAACUACCACCGCAGUAGGAACCUCCCCUGGAUGAACUUGCCACUAGACAACACGCUCCAGCUCAUUUCCCCCGCUACAUGCCAGUGCACGCGGUGACCGCGUUAAUGGCAAGCCUGUGCGCGCGCUCUGCUACAAUUGGCCACACCGAGGAUGGAUUCUUGCUCGGGCCCCUCCUCCUCUCAUCGUCUUAGCACGCGUGAGCAUGUCCCUUGGCUUCACCUCGUCGUCGCCGAUCACAUGGACCCCGCUCCCCCUCAGGCAGCUUCCUCACCGACGAAAGCCGCAGCGUGCCCACGGGCGCACAGUGGCGUUUGGCUCGGUUCAUCGCCGUCGCCUUCCUCCCUGCGCUCCGUUGGCCUCCUCUGCCCCGUGAGACACUCCACUGCUCCUCCCCCGUCGUCUACCAGCGAGCUCAUGCGCGUGCACACGCGUCCGCGGCACCGGACACGCGUCCGCGGCGGCGCCAGCGCGACACUCCCUCGCCCGGCUAUAUAUAGCCAUCCCCGCGGCCUCCCGAGCACCUCAUCAGCCUCGCCUCACUCCCAGCUUCCUCCUCGUCCACUAGCCCGAGCUCGAGCAGCUCUCCUCGACCCCCAUCGCCGCCAUGCCCGCCGCUCUGCUCAGCUCAAAUUCGAGCUGGGCAGUGCCCCUCCCCCUCUCUUUCCACCACCAGUAGACUCCUCCUCCACCUAGACUUCGCCCCCGUGCUCUCCCUCCCCUCCGGUGGCCUUCUGCCAUGAGCUCGCCGCCGACCGAAGAUCGCCGUCCGCCGCGGCUGGCCUCCCGCUCAGCCGAGCCCUACCCCGCGGCUGCAUCUUGCCUGGAUGGAUCCGCCUCGUCGCGCUGAUCAUGCCGGUAGGUCGCACGCCGCGAGAGGUGGCCGGAGUGGCCGGGAAUCCGCGUCGGGCCGUCGGUCUCGUCUCUACAUCGCGGGCGAGCGGGAGGAGGAAGAAGGAGCCAGGCCAGGCGGGCCCCAUCUCCACGCGGCCCCACCUGUCGGCGGGCAGGCGUUGACCCCGCCUGCCUAGCUGGAUAAGUGAUGGGCCCCACAGCCCGUGGGACCCGCACGUCAGCGACCCCACGCCCGGCCCCGCCACUGUCCACGUGGAUAAGUGGAAGCGUACUUCGCAGAAGUACGUUUUCGCCUUCAGAAAGCGUAUUUCUCUUCUGCUCUAGUCGUAAGUGCGCUUUCAUAGUUUGAAAACUAUUUUCUUCUUAGGCGCCUUCUGUUUUCUCACUCAGGGGCCUGUUUGUAGAGAUUCUUUUACAAAUCGGUCCCUGAACUUCGUCGGGCUAUAUCUUUUUACUCCCAACUCCAAAUGAGGUGAUUCCAAAGCCCAUUUCUUUGUCUCGUCGAGCCCGUUAUGUUGGUUUCAUUUUCACUAUGGUUUGACACUGUGAAAAUGACCCUUUUUUCCCUUGCCCGUAAACAGCCCCUCCGAGAGAGAACUGUUUCCGGCAAAUCUUUCCGCGAGCUUCUCGCACUUCUUCCCUGUGUUUUCUUCAUCCCCAGGCAAGCCACAAUACCCACUUGCAUGAUAGUCAUGCAGUAGCCAUGGUUUUCAACUUGAAUAUUUAUUAAAUGAUUGCUUGUUUAAAAUAUGGUUAUCGUUGUUUUGGUAAUGCUUCUGGGUUAGUGCUUACUUGCUUGAUAUGUUGUUAUGCACCUGGUUAUCAUGCCCUGCUAGUUGCUAGUAUUACUUUCAUAUUUCCAUGCUUGAUAGUAGUACAUGUUGGGUUGGUCAUGUUCUUCGGUGCAUGAUUAACGUCGGUUAUCGAGUACUGUUAAUAUGCGUUCUUCCUUUGCUGUUAGUUGGUUAAGUGUUACUCGGUAAUGUUAUUGAUGAGUUCUUGCAUGGUAUUUAUGGUUGAUGCUAGUGGUCAUGUUUUACUAUGAGUAGUGUUGCACUUGUAAUAGUUAUGCUCGUCAUUAUGCCAUGUUCAGUUGGAGAUUAUUCAUAGUUGAUAUGGUGGAUCGUUAUGUUGUACCCUCAUGCUUAUGUUGAUCUCAUGCUCAUGCUUUGUAUAUGCAUCAUGUUAUUUUAUCAUGGCUCAGCAUAUUGCAUUCAAGUUUAACCAGAUUAAGUUCAACUUGAACAACUGUUGGCUGAGUCAUGGUGCCACCAUAUCGAAACUGACCAGUGCAACCACGCUUACCUUAUGGGAAGGUCCUAACUGGGUCUAUUGUCGUGCCUCUCGCCGGUGCCUCCAACGAGGGAAGGUUAUGGGCGCGCGCUACCCUGAUCAGGUAGGCGGACAUAACCUUGUGUGCCCGUUGUUGUUAUUAUGGAUCCGGUCCCCGUGAGGGACGUUUUGGCCACGACAGUGGUCGUUGUGUCUUUGGUAGAUACGGGGCCACCCAGGACUAGCCCAGUUGGGAGUGGGUCGGAGUGGCCGGGAGAGUGUCAUGGCAAUAGAUCGGUUUUGUCGGAAUGCCGUUGGUCCACCCGAAUGGGAGUGCGAGGCCAUGGGUUCCGUGGUGUGGGUACAGUGUACUAACCUCUGCAGAGUGUAUAUUAAAUCUAUCGAUAGCCGCGCCCGCGGAUAAGGGCCCAGUUCGUGUCGGUCACACCGUGAGUCAACAGUAUUAAUAAUAACUUGAUUAAUGACAACCCCGGUUCGAUGAUGAGAUAAGUUGGUUGUGAUCGCCGGAAAGAUCACCGUUUGAGACCAAGUGUUGGUCAUGGUUGUGAUCGCCGAAAUGAUCACCGUGGUAUCGAGGAUACCGAGUUGUUGGAUAUUCGUGAUGUUGUGCGAGAAUCAUGGGUAAAGAUCAAGCUCCUUGUGGUCAUUUAAUGAUUACUACGGUAUUGUUGAUACCAAGCUUGAUUUGAUCCUGAGAUGAUUGUGUGAUGUCC